rnacentral:lncRNA from 1 species
UGUUUGAACAAGCUUAUAUUCAUUGUCUUUAUGUGUUUAGACGGUCUCUAUUUAGAAGAGGCCCAUAAAUGGAACCAAGAAGAUGGAUCAAAAGAGGGUCGUUAGGUCGUUAGAUAUUGUUGGUAAUUGAUUUAUUGCAUAAUGUUAUUGUUGAAUUCCAGGUUAUAAACAAGUUUCCUAAACUUAUAUGUUAACAAAGGUUGAGAUUCACAUCUACAAAGCAAAACCUAAACUAUAAUUUUUAAUUGAGGAACUGGUACAUACGAUCUUAUUGUUAAUCAAAGACAAAACAUAGAAAUAGAUCAGGUAAUGAGGCAAAUGAAUUGGGGUCAAAGGUACCCGACUUUUGAUACAAAGAUUGACUUGGUGAUCUCCUUGAUU